rnacentral:rRNA from 1 species
AGCAGCUGCGGUAAUUCCAGCUCCAAUAGCGUAUAUUAAAGUUGUUGCAGUUAAAAAGCUCGUAGUUGAAUUUCGGGGUUAGUAGGUUGGUCAUGCCUCUGGUAUGUACUGGUCUCACUGAUUCCUCCUUCCUGAUGAGCCGUAAUGCCAUUAAUUUGGUGUUGCGGGGAAUUUGGACUGUUACUUUGAAAAAAUUGAGUGUUUAAAGCAAGCUAACGCUUGAAUACAUUAGCAUGGAAUAAUGAAAUAGGACGUUCGAUCCUAUUUUGUUGGUUUCUAGGAUUGACGUAAUGAUUAAUAGGGAUAGUUGGGGGCAUUAGUAUUCAAUUGUCAGAGGUGAAAUUCUUGGAUUUAUUGAAGACUAACUACUGCGAAAGCAUUUGCCAAGGAUGUUUUCAUUAAUCAAGAACGAAAGUUAGGGGAUCGAAGACGAUCAGAUACCGUCGUAGUCUUAACCAUAAACUAUGCCGACUAGGGGAUCGGAUGAUGUUAAUUUUUUAAUGUACUCAUUCGGCGUCCC